CCUACGGGUGGCAGCAGUGAGGAAUAUUGGUCAAUGGCCGGAAGGCUGAACCAGCCAAGCCGCGUGAAGGACGAAGGUGCCAAGCAUUGUAAACUUCUUUUGUCAAGGGAAAAAAUCAGGCUCGAGAGCCUGAACGAGGGUACUUGAAGAAAAAGCAUCGGAUAACUCCGUUCCAGCAUUCGAGGUAAUAAGGAGGAUGCGAGCGUUCUACGGAUUUAUUGGGGUUAAAGGGUGCGUAGGCGGGCUGUUAAGUCAGCGGUAAAAGCCCGGGGCUCAACCCCGGGGAGCCGUUGAAACUGGCUGUCUUGAGAUGUCGAGAGGUAUGCGGAAUGCGCAGUGUAGCGGUGAAAUGCUUAGAGAUUGCGCAGAACUCCGAUUGCGAAGGCAGCAUACCGGCGGCGAUCUGACGCUGAGGCACGAAAGCGUGGGUAUCGAACAGGAUUAGAUACCCUUGUAGUC
rnacentral:rRNA from 1 species